GUUGUUGAUGAAGAUGAGAUGGUCGGUUACAUAUUGAAUGGUUUAGAUUUCGAUUAUAAUCCUGUCGUAUCUUCCAUUCUUGGCCGCACUGACCCCAUCACCAUGAGUGAUCUAUAUACUCAAUUGCUGUCCUAUGAGA